GGGAGGCAGCAGUGGGGAAUAUUGGACAAUGGGGGAAACCCUGAUCCAGCAACGCCGCGUGGAGGAUGAAGGUCUUCGGAUUGUAAACUCCUGUUAGGGGGGACGAAGGGAUGCCGGCGAACAGUCGGCAAACUUGACGGUACCCCCAGAGGAAGCCCCGGCUAACUCUGUGCCAGCAGCCGCGGUAAUACAGAGGGGGCAAGCGUUAUUCGGAAUUAUUGGGCGUAAAGGGCGCGUAGGCGGCCCUGUAAGUCUUGGGUGAAAUCCCUCAGCUCAACUGAGGAACUGCCUCGGAUACUGCAGGGCUUGAGGCCGGGAGAGGGUAGUGGAAUUCCCAGUGUAGCGGUGAAAUGCGUAGAUAUUGGGAGGAACACCGGUGGCGAAGGCGGCUACCUGGACCGGUUCUGACGCUGAUGCGCGAAAGCGUGGGGAGCAAACAGGAUUAGAUACCCCGGUAGU
rnacentral:rRNA from 1 species